AGAGUUUGAUCCUGGCUCAGGAUGAACGCUGGCGGCGUGCCUAACACAUGCAAGUCGAGCGUGAAGUUUUGGAAUGAUACUUCGGUAAAGUGAAGGAACGGAAAGCGGCGGACGGGUGAGUAACGCGUAGGUAACCUGCCCCAUACACAGGGAUAGCCUAGGGAAACCUGGAUUAAUACCUGAUGAUGCGAAGGAGUCACAUGGCUUUUUCGCCAAAGAUUUAUCGGUAUGGGAUGGACCUGCGUCUGAUUAGUUAGUUGGUGAGGUAACGGCUCACCAAGGCAGCGAUCAGUAGCCGACCUGAGAGGGUAAUCGGCCACAUUGGAACUGAGACACGGUCCAAACUCCUACGGGAGGCAGCAGUGGGGAAUAUUGCACAAUGGGCGCAAGCCUGAUGCAGCAACGCCGCGUGAGCGAAGAAGGUCUUCGGAUCGUAAAGCUCUGUCCUUAGGGAAGAAACAAAUGACGGUACCUGAGGAGGAAGCCCCGGCUAACUACGUGCCAGCAGCCGCGGUAAUACGUAGGGGGCGAGCGUUAUCCGGAAUUAUUGGGCGUAAAGAGUACGUAGGUGGUUUUGUAAGCGUGGGGUGAAAGACCGAAGCUUAACUUCGGUUAGCCUUGCGAACUGCAAGACUUGAGUGCAGGAGAGGAAAGUGGAAUUCCUAGUGUAGCGGUGAAAUGCGUAGAUAUUAGGAGGAACACCAGUGGCGAAAGCGACUUUCUGGGACUGUAACUGACACUGAGGUACGAAAGCGUGGUAGCAACAGGAUUAGAUACCCUGGUAGUCCACGCGUAACGA
rnacentral:rRNA from 1 species